GUGGGGAAUUUUGGACAAUGGGCGCAAGCCUGAUCCAGCAAUGCCGCGUGCAGGAAGAAGGCCUUCGGGUUGUAAACUGCUUUUGUACGGAACGAAACGGUCCUGGCUAAUACCCGGGGCUAAUGACGGUACCGUAAGAAUAAGCACCGGCUAACUACGUGCCAGCAGCCGCGGUAAUACGUAGGGUGCGAGCGUUAAUCGGAAUUACUGGGCGUAAAGCGUGCGCAGGCGGUGCUGUAAGACAGGCGUGAAAUCCCCGGGCUAAACCUGGGAAUUGCGCUUGUGACUGCAGUGCUGGAGUGCGGCAGAGGGGGAUGGAAUUCCGCGUGUAGCAGUGAAAUGCGUAGAUAUGCGGAGGAACACCGAUGGCGAAGGCAAUCCCCUGGGCCUGCACUGACGCUCAUGCACGAAAGCGUGGGGAGCAAACAGGAUUAGAAACCCCAGUAGUCC
rnacentral:rRNA from 1 species